UACGGGAGGCAGCAGUGGGGAAUAUUGCACAAUGGGCGAAAGCCUGAUGCAGCUAUGCCGCGUGUAUGAAGAAGGCCUUAGGGUUGUAAAGUACUUUCAUCGGGGAGGAAAAAACAAAACUAAUAAUUUUAUUUCUUGACGUUACCCGAAAAAGAAGCACCGGCUAACUCCGUGCCAGCAGCCGCGGUAAUACGGAGGGUGCUAGCGUUAAUCAGAAUUACUGGGCGUAAAGAGCACGUAGGUGGUUUUUUUAAGUCAGAUGUGAAUCCCUGGGCUUAACCCUAGGAACUGCAUUUUGAAACUGAAAUACUAGAGUAUCGUAGAGGGAGGUAGAAUUCUAGGUGUAGCGGUGAAAUGCGUAGAUAUCUGGAGGAAUACCUGUGGCGAAAGCGGCCUCCUAAACGAAUACUGACACUGAGGUGCGAAAGCGUGGGGAGCAAACAGGGAUUAGAUACC
rnacentral:rRNA from 1 species